rnacentral:rRNA from 1 species
UGGGGAAUAUUGCACAAUGGGCGAAAGCCUGAUGCAGCAACGCCGCGUGAGUGAUGACGGUCUUCGGAUUGUAAAGCUCUUUCUUUGGGGACGAUAAUGACGGUACCCAAGGAGGAAGCCACGGCUAACUACGUGCCAGCAGCCGCGGUAAUACGUAGGUGGCAAGCGUUGUCCGGAUUUUCUGGGCGUAAAGGGUGCGUAGGCGGACCUUUAAGUGAGAUGUGAAAUCCCCGAGCUUAACAUGGGGGCUGCAUUUCAAACUGGAGGUCUAGAGUGCAGGAGAGGGGAGUGGAAUUCCUAGUGUAGCGGUGAGAUGCGUAGAGAUUAGGAAGAAAACCAGUGGCGAGGGCGACUCUCUGGA